rnacentral:rRNA from 1 species
GUACACACCGCCCGUCACACCAUGGGAGUGGGUUGUACCAGAAGUAGGUAGCCUAACCUUCGGGAGGGCGCUUACCACGGUAUGAUUCAUGACUGGGGUGAAGUCGUAACAAGGUAGCCGUAGGUGAACCUGCAGAAGGAUCA